GGCCUUAUCCUAGAGAUAUCAUAGUAAAUUGCACCUGCUCAUCAUACUUCUAACCAUAUCCAUAAGAAUGUGAUUGUGUCUUUUAGCCAUAUCAUUUUGAUCAGGAGUUUUAGUCAUUGUAUAUUGAGCAACUAUCCCACACUCCUGCAAAUAUUUAGUAAAAGGUCAUGUUGCUAUCAAAAAAAUGAUCUGGCUCAGGCUACUGAGCUGGAGUGUAGGAGAAGAGAUGCAGUGAUCUCUGAUGGGCUGGUCGGAACUUCAGAGGUGCACAAAUCUUUCUCUAAUCCUUGAGUGAUCCCACA
rnacentral:lncRNA from 1 species